UAAUCUCCCUCCAGCGACCACUUCCGUGAUGUUACUUUGAAGAGAAGCUGCACGAGCCGUGGAACGAAAAAAAAAAGACGCGAAAAAAGUGUCGCCGCUUUACUACUGAAACUGUUCCGGGAGGAGGGAAUUUGUGGCGGUAAUGCACCAACCGGCAUAAAACCUCAAAAAAGAACGAGGGAACUUUAAAAAAAGAAGAGGAAAAAAAAGUAAACUACCGCGGCGUGACGUCAGACGCCGAAAAGGUUGCCGCGUGCAUCAGCUCCUGUAUAAAAACGCAGCAAGGCGCUCCAGGAUGGCCUGUUCGACCUGGUCCAGAUUGGUGGACCGUCCAGAAUGGAACAACCUGCUUCCUGCUCACGGAGACCUGGUCGGACCCGCCAUAUACAAAAGCCUGAGGCUGUCAAAAAAAGAUUGAUCUUCAUGAAGAUUGUCAAAGAGUAGGUGUCAUUAUUUAAUUCUGGGUGGCCGCCGUGUCCCCACUCUUUCUUGGCCGCUGUGCCGACAUCUCUCUGCAUUGUCCAACAUGGCCACGUUCUUUCUAUUCUCCUGCUUUCCAUCUGUCAAAUAGCUGAGGGUUGUACAUGGAGCAUUUGCCACAGGUUGGUUUUGUAUGUUCCUGUCCACUUUAUUGGGUGGUCUGAAAUCUAGUCCUCGUUGGUUAUAUUUUUGUGGAACUGCUGAGCGAGUGAUUUGAAAGUAUGAGGUGACUGAUGGAGUGUUUAAAGUUUGAAGGAGGACCAGAUCUUAAAUGAGGUUUAAAUGGAUGUUGGUGUAUAGUUAAAGCUCGAUGGUAUGAAUAAAAUUAAUGUUGUGCCUUGUACACUCCGUCACAAGGCUUAGACUUCUUGGCUGCUGUGCCUUUUUUCUUUUUCUCUUUUCGAUCGUGGCCAUUAAUCUACCGUUAGCCCUAGCACGUUAAAAUAGAUCCUGGUGAUCUACAGUACCUGGCUUUGGAUGGCAGCUGUGCCAUUGCCUUUGUAUGGCCAUACGUCCCUUAAUGCAAGUAGGCCAUGAUCGCUAACUGUGCCCGCGCCUUCGUAGCCUACUUGUGUCAUUGUACGUCUGGCCUUGCGCGUAUAGUCAUUUUACAUAGGCAAACAUGGGUGCCUUCCGCGUCCAUGCACAGUAAGUGAACUAACCUGUACUUUCCUUCUAGCAUCAGUCAAGAGGAGCACCGACAUCCCUGCAUGUCCAUCCUAAUUAGAUUGCGUUUUAGUUAAGGUAAAAUUUCAAAUGGUUAAUGCAGUUUUUCUUUCUUGCUUGGCUGCCGUGCCAUUACUAUACCUGCUCUGAGCUCAAUCUUGAUUCUUCAUGGCCACUGUGUCAUGACUGUACUUGAUCUUGGUGUUCAUGCCACUCUAUCAUUUCUGAUCUGUUUUUCCUCUCUGUGUGUGUGUGUGUGUGUGUGUGUGUGUGUGUGUGUGUGUGUGUGUGUGUGUGUGUGUGUGUGUGUGUGUGUGUGUGUGUGUGUGUGUGUGUGUGUGUGUGUGUGUGUGUGUGUGUGUGUGUGUGUGUGUGUGUGUGUGUGUGUGUGUGUGUGUGUGUGUGUGUGUGUGUGUGUGUGUGUGUGUGUGUGCUGACGUUAAUCUGACUGACGUUAAUCUGACUGACGUUAAUCUGACUGACGUUAAUCUGACUGACGUUAAUCUGACUGACGUUAAUCUGACUGACGUUAAUCUGACUGACGUUAAUCUGACUGACGUUAAUCUGACUGACGUUAAUCUGACCUUUGGACCAAGACUAACACUCCAAUUGACUUUACUGCACCAGAAAGGUGAACAAAAUAUAUGCUGCAAGAUGCACACCAACUAGACGACAAUGAAAUUCUUUCAAAAACAGGUAUAAUUUUUAGCUUUCAGGUAAGUAUUAAAGGCCUUUGCCACAUGAUCUUUGUGAGUAAAUUGUGUCCACUCAAUUUAUAAAGUUAAUUUGCAUCUAAACAUUGCCAAUGCCUGACACAAUGGCAUUACAAUAAUAAAAAAAAUUAUUUUGCUUUACUGAGUGCAAAGGCCUUUAUUUACACACUGACGCAUGCCAAGACUGCCGUCAUGGCAUGUGUCACUGUGUCUUUCUGUCUGUCUGUCUCGUGUGUCUGGUCUUCGUUCUUUCUGUCCUGUGUGUCGGAUUUAGUCACUUUUUUAGUCUCAAUUUAAAUGGAUGAUUUUAAAGUUGAUUAGUCUUGAGGCGUCUGAUUUCUCCAGGAAAUUCUGGUACCUUAUUUUGAAAUGGCUUUAAUUUAAAAAUGUAAUUGUGGUCUUGAAUCUCAGUUAUCAUAGUGGCAACUUGGACUGUUGACAAACGUGGAAGCUGAUGAAUCAUGUAGUAAAUGCGUCAAAGUUUACUGUAGUUUGUCUAAAGUUCUUUCAAAGUGCUGUAAAAAUAUAGUAAUUGAUUAUGAUGAGCUGUACCAGGUUUUCCUUUAUUCUCAACUGGUGAUUGCUUUGAUAAGAUAGCUGGUUACUGAUUUGAUUAUGAAGCUAAACUUUUGAUUUAUAUGCAAGUGUAGUCACAUGAGAUUGUAGGUGUUAUUCAGCCCAUGGAUAAUGUUAUGAUAUACUUUAAAUCUGGCAUUUGUUGGCACACUUUUGAUAUCCAUUUAAGUCUUAAACUUUACGCACUGCCAUCAGCCUUUAUAGUCGCUAACUGAAAUCGAAUUCAAUAUUAAUGCUGACUUGUCUCACUCUGCCAAGUUUAUUUCCCUCUAAAGGAGUUGAACCUUUUUGUGUUCAUAGUCUUUGCGCGUCAUGUUGGGAGGCCUCCCAGCAGGGGAUUUUUAUCUUCCCCUGCAAAAACUAUGCGUUACUCGCCUUAGGGAUGCAGGGCUAUCCUGCAUAGUUUCUUUCAUAAAUUAGAUUGUAGGUUGCAGGAUUAGAGUGCGUUUAUUUUCUUUAGGAGGACACAAACCUGGCAGAGAGACAACUCAGAUUAUUUAAGUGAAAGUUGCACCAAAUGUUUGAACUUUUUGAAAUAAAACCUUUAUUCUGUGGGCUGAACUCAGACAGAAAUCAGUCAGAAUUUGGCUUCAUGUUAAAGACUGUUGUGCAAGUACCCUCUUGUAGCAGGAGUGAGCAGCUGCAGCUUUUUAAUUUAUUUUUCGUUAUUUGAUUUGUCUCUUGGAUUGACUCUGAAGCUUUGUGGUUAACAGUGAUCAUGUAAACGCGUAAACACAAGUGGUCUUUUGCCUCUUUAUUUGCAAAGCUGGCAGCUGGUUGAAAUGAUAAGACUUUAUGGCUUGCCCAAAGUGGGACUUUUGAUAGAGCAUAGGGUUAACACCUCAGCAUACGCUAUUUCAGCGAACAAGUGUCUGUAGUCCAUUAUUACUCAUGACUUUCUUUCAAAUUUCACAUUUUAGGCAGCUCAUAGAGUCAUUAGGAAGAUACGUAAUCCCAAUGUCUUGGUUGGUUGCAUGAGAAACUGUCAUCUCUUAGAUGUGUUGACGAAGUUCCUCCUCUGAUUUUUGUAGACUUGCCCUAAAGUUUCUCUCUUGCUUUAACUCUUGUUGAGCUCUGCAUUAAAUGAUUCCUCCAACUUGUCUCCAUAUCAAUUUUUUUCUCCCUGCAGCCUUCCACCACCCACUGCUGCUGUUGCAUCUGCUAAAGGUAGCCGUAUCCUGAUUCACUGCGUCUUCAUGUGUUGGGUAAGAAGUGUCAUUAGAUUACUAACAAUGCAAACACCUUUUAAAUGCUUGAGCUAAUUUACCCAAAUGGUUCAUCAGUUUAGGACAGAAAAUCAUUGAAUUUGACAUUCUUGGGGUCAGUAACCUGACCUCUAAAUGUUUGGGAAACCAUGCAGAAGAUCGUAAGCUCUCUGCAUGACCCCACAGCAUCGAUGUUUGAGUUAUUUAAUUGCUCAAUUUUUAAAUCAGUUAAGAUUUUAUGAGCUGGGUCUUCUUCACACAACAGAGAACAAGGUAAAUUGAGUCGACUCGUAACAUGGUAAGGCAUUUUGUCUUUCCCCUUCUUCUCUGUGUGUGAGGAAAUCUGGCCACGGAUCCUGACUGAGUGGCAUACCAUGGCUGUGCAGUUUCCAAAAUCAGACAAGGAUCCAUCUGAUUUUGUGACUCUGCUUGUCAUGAUAUGCAUGUAUCUUCCUCUGAAACAAAGGAUUGGAAUGGACAGGUUUGUGGUGUCAAUCACAUCACUUUUAGAUGGUGAAGCAUUUGUUUAAAUUGGGGUCAAGCAUUUUCAGGUGUCUGCUUUGUCAAUACUCUGGUGCCACGUCUUGCUAAACACACGAGAAGCUCUGAAUUGUGAAACUGCUGCCUUUUGCAGAUGUUACAACAGCAAUGGCUGUUGAAAGGCUGCAGGGAGAGAAAAUGAGAUCUGAGGACAGGAAAGUGGAAUUAAUUUCAUGCUUAGCAAAAUGAGGGUUUCAGCAGAGGAACUUUUGUGGCGAGGCUACAAAAUCAGAAGGAAUGUUUGUCUGGGCAACUGGGAGAUUUACAGUUUUUCAUGCAGCCAACCAAGACAUUGGGGUUAGCAUCAUCCCAAAUGGCUGGCAAAGAUUGCAUGUAACCGUCAGUGUAGGACAGGAAAGGCAGAUAUAGGUUAGGGAGGGCAUCCAUCGGUGACCUCUGACUGGAUGUGAGGACCUGUCACACUUGACCAGAGAUGAAGGCUGCAGCACAUUCCCGGAUCAGAGGACUCCAUGUUGGAUACCACGACCUGGAGAAGUCCCAUCCUGGAUGGCUGCGGUGAUGACCUAGCCCAAGAUCAACCGACCCUUCUACGACGAGGACUUCGUCCCAAGAUGAACCGACCCUUCUACGACGAGGACUUCGCCCAAGAUGAACCAACCUUUUCCACGGGAUGUCUUCAGAUGUUGGACCUUGCCAAACUAUACACACGCCUCAAUGGCUGCUACGUCACUCUGCCCAACAGGACAUGGUCACCGAGAUUUUUUUAUUUUUUAUAAAUGGACUUUAACCCCCUCGUCCCCAGAAACUGCUACUUUGAGCCUGUUUCAGUCUGUAAAAGAUCGUAAGCUCUCUGCAUGGCCCAACAGCAUUGAUGUUUGAUUUAUUUAAUUGCUCAAUUUUUAAAUCAGUCAAGAUUUUAUGUGCUGGGUCUUCUUCACACAACAGAGAACAAGGUAAAUUGAGUCGACUCUUAACAUGGUAAGGCAUUUUGUCCUUCCCCUUUUUCUCUGUGUGUGAGGAAAUCUGGCCGUGGAUCCUGACUGACAGCAUACCAUGGCUGUGCAGUUUCCAAAAUCAGACAAGGAUCCAUCUGAUUUUGUACUCGGCCUGUCAUGAUAUGCAUGUGUCUUCCUUUUGAAACAAAGGAUUGGAAUGGACAGGUUUGUAGUGUCAAUCACAUCACUUGUAGAUGGUGAUGGUGUACAGACACUGCUACUUUCAGCCUGUACUGUAAUGUUAGACACUGAAAACUUGUGUUCAUUGCCUUCUUUAUAUCAAGUAAAACUUUUGUUCUUAA